CUCAUUUGCAUGCCCUGGUUGGAAACUGCUUGGUAGAGGAAUGGAAUGUUCUGGCCUCACCGAUUUGAUUUUCAAAUCACUUCCCUCUGAGCAAUAUCCUCCCUGCAGGGCAGAGUCCCAACACUCGGUUACACCUACGGACUCGGCCUAGUGAUAUGGGACACUGAGACUGGAGGGAGGGAAGGGGCUCACCCCACCCUUUCCACACCUUACUCCCAGCUUCUGUCCCCAGGGAGAAGAGCUGCCACAUCAAGCCUCAGGAACUCUCCUUUGACCCUGAACUGCCCACUUCCCUUCUUUCCUGACGGCGCCAGCAGAGGGCACCAGGAGCCACGCAGGAGCUGCGGGACGUCCUGGCCACAGGGAUGCCGCCCUCAGCCAGCCUCACCUGAGGAUGGAACAGGGGGCUGCCUGGUUGCAGCGAUCCUUCAGAGAGCAGUCCCUGCUGCCUUGCACAAAACGCCUCUGAGAUCAGAAGCCCUUUCAUGGAGAGCAGGUGAGAUCCCCAGUCACAGGAUCAAGGUCUGACUUCAUCCUGGGGUUCACAGGGCAGAGACCCAGGUCCCACAAAGAUGAUGUGCUCAGGAAGCCACAGUGGAGCCCCAGAUGCAUCAGGUGAGUCAUGCUGGUGCCACAGGCUUGAAUUGGGCUGGCAACAAAUAGGCUGGGGGGUGUCAGGUGGGCAUUACCUCUGGGCUGUUCUUACUUGGGGCAAUGUCUCCAUUAUCUUGGGGCAGUGCCUCCAACAUCCCUUUCCAAUUCAGCAACUGCACAACACCUGACUUUUGAAACAGACAUUUACAUCCCUGCCUGAAGGAGCCAGGACCAACUUGCUUGGAGGAUCUGUGCAUGGGGGACCCACCUGGGCUCUAGCACAGCACACACUGCUGAGCCAAGCACACAGGAGACCACAGGCCCUGCUGCCCUCAGACCACAGAUGCAGCCCCAGCUCACCAUGGGCAUGUGCCCCCAAUCAGACCUCUUUACGCAGCACUCCAGCCUCAUGCCUCUGCCACACCCAUUGUCCCACUCACCCCACCCUCUCCUGAGCUGCCCGGUGUCCUCAUCCCUCUCCUAAGCAAAGAGCCUUCCUCCUCACAACCAACACCUUCACCUGGAAUGAGUUUUCCUUGUCCAACUCUCUACCUAUCCCCAAGGCCCAAGGAAGGGGAGGGAGAGGAAGUAGGGGGUAGGGGAGUGUUGGAUUGUAUUGAUUAUCUGUGUUCUAGCCCCUCAAGAGGUGCUUUACAUCUGGUCCCUCAAGACUUUACUCUGUGGGACAUUCCGUGGCUAAACUUGUCCCCUAGAUGAAUUUCUCCCCCACAAGCAGAUCCACCAGUCAGGCUUCCCCCAUUAUCUCCAGGCAUCCCUGGAGAAAUUUGUCCCCACCCACCCAACCCAAAGACUUGAGUCUUAUUCACCAGUGAUCAGUGACUCACUCUAAACCAAUGCUAACCAAUAUAUAGGAUGCCAGCAAUAGAUUCAUUUUAAAAUUUCCAGGAAUCAUAUUUUUUUAAAGUAAAAAGAA
rnacentral:lncRNA from 13 species